rnacentral:rRNA from 1 species
CCUACGGGUGGCAGCAGUGAGGAAUAUUGGUCAAUGGGCGGAAGCCUGAACCAGCCAAGUAGCGUGCAGGAUGACGGCCCUACGGGUUGUAAACUGCUUUUAUACGGGAAUAACGCGCCUUACGUGUAGGGCUUUGCAUGUACCGUAUGAAUAAGGACCGGCUAAUUCCGUGCCAGCAGCCGCGGUAAUACGGAAGUUCCGGGCGUUAUCCGGAUUUAUUGGGUUUAAAGGGAGCGUAGGCCGCAUGUCAAGCGUGCUGUGAAAUGUCCGGGCGCAAGCCGGGCCUUGCAGCGUGAAUGGGCGUGCGUGAGUCGGCGGAAAGCAGGCGGAAUGCGUCGGGUAGCGGUGAAAUGCUUAGAUAGGGCGAAGAACGGUGAUUGCGAAGGCAGCUUGCUGCAGCGGAACUGACGCUGAUGCUCGAAAGCGCGGGUAUCGAACAGGAUUAGAUACCCGAGUAGUC